GAGAAUAUGAAGUGAGAGCAGGACAGCACUCCUCUUGAUUAGGAUGGAAGAAGUCUUAACGGACUUUUAACCAUGUUUAAAGCUGUCACUUUGCGGCAUCUAAUGUCUAUCCUGGGAAGACUGCUGCAACUGCCAAGUUCUUUU